CAAAACUUAUUUCCGAACUCGACGGAUUUCAAAAAUCCAUAUCCAAAUUCAAAACUGACCAAUUUUCCGAAACCCAAAACCAAACCUAAACCAGAAGACUAGAAUUCAAACAAUUAUUUCUGUUUACCAUAUUUCAAAGUAUUUAUAUGAAACUUAAAAUUUUAAAAUAUAAAUUUGAAUAUAAUAUUAAAUAUUAAAUUUAAAAGUGAAAUUUAAAUUAGAGGAAUUUCAUAUUACUAUUUAAAGUUUAAAUUCAAUGAUUAUAUUGUCAAAUCAUUUGAAAUUUUUCUUAUAUGAAAUGCCAAAUUAUGAAAGGAAAGAUAGAGAGAGAAAAAGGAAACAAAGAAAAAAUAAAAAUUUUGAAAAUAUAGUAGAUAUAAAAUGACUAAAUUGCCCAUGUAUUAAAAGACAAAAAUAUUCUUUUUUGAAGUACCUGGUAAUCGGUACCUCUCCUAAAGUGACCUGCUAUUACAGGUCACAAUUUUAAAAAAACUAAAUCCGAGCCUUCGAAUACACGUGAAUGAACGGUAACAAAAAAAAAAAAGUAUAGAAGCAUUACUAUAUACACACACACACACACACACAUAUAUAUAUAUAUAUAUACACACACGCCACACACACACACACACACACAUAUAUAUAUAUAUAUAUAUAUAUAUAGAGUCCGGCUAUGGUGCUUGUAAAAGUACCAAGUAUUUGGUAGUUGUAAAUUUUUUACCGUUAGAUCUACGUCUUUGAUUAUUUUCACCCGUUAGAUUAUACUAUUCAACCAACCACCCACUCAACCCUAGGAGGCCUACAUCAUCUUAACCGCACAUCCCUUAAUCCAAGGGCUAAAAACUUACAAACACCAAUAACUUUAUACUUUUGAAAGUAUAGGAGCUCAAUUCUAUAUAUAUAUAUAUAUAUAUAUAUAUAGCUCAGCUAAAAUAUUAUUAGUAGUACAUACUAUCCACUUUAACACUCUUAGCCGGAUCAGUACUAUUUCACCAACUACUCACUCAAUUCUACGCAUACAAUAGUUACAAAGUGAAUAGUAUUAUAUUAUAUAUUAAUAUUAAUAGUAUACAGCACAACUCU
rnacentral:lncRNA from 1 species